CCUUGAAAAAUGCGUCCGCCGCAGGUUUGACAUCCAAACCUACCCUGAAAAAGGGCCAAACGGGAGAAGCUGUCAUUCUGACGAGACGUUGUGGUUUGUGCUCGUGAGCGCCUCUCUCAGUUGGGUGAGGGGCGAGCUCGAGUCCCCUGGCUUUGGGGGGACUCCGGUGAGGUUUGGGGGGUGGGCUGGACAGGAUCCCCUUGCAAUCCCCGAGUCCAACCUGGGGGCAAGGGACGAAGGGGCUCCCAGGAAGGACAGCUCCGUCCUCUUGCGGCUCUGCGGCUUCACCAUAGCGUAGCUUUGAGGCUAAAGGCUGAAAGGUAUCAGACGCGUCUCCUCUCAAGGAAGUGUUGCUCAUUUCAGUGGGGUUACUCCUAAGAGAAAAAUUUUGCUCACACAUAAUCAGAAGCAAGUGUGAGAUAUUUUAACACCAUAGAUGAUGUCUAACAACAUUUCUUACUGGUUUUGCAAGUAAACAGUAGCUUCCUUGACACUGCUUGUUAUCUAGAGGCAGCUCAUCAGAGACAUCAAUUUACUGCUGUUUUGGUUACAUUAGCAAUGGCACUCUCUUCUUGAAUUUUGGAAAUGGAGGAAAUUAUGACACAUGGCAGAUUUCUAGAGAGCUAUGUGUGGAUACUCCUUGCAUAAAAUGGAGGCUAAGCAUCCUGUGAGGAAUCAACCACGAAUAAGAAGCAGGAAGAGUUCAUUGCAUAGGAGGAUCUUUCAAUAUUUUUAAGAGGAGCAAGCAGCAGUUGAGACAAGUUAAUGAGGAGUCUGAUUUCAAUCAUGACUUCUUGAAUCUCCAAACAAACCAACAAAGGCAGCUCAUGGACCAAGUGGGUACAAUCUCAUUCUAAUACUUCAAGAGCAUAUAUAUCUGCUUUUCUGGUCAUGACCUGGCUAUGCAUGUGAAGCAGAAAUCUAUAGUCUGGCAGCAGUUGUGCUCCACAAGAGGUCAGAACUAGUGAGGCAGAGACUCUAAAAGCAUUUGGCUGCUUUUUGUUUCGAGUGUGCCAGAAGAUAAUUAAUUGUAGCCACUGCUGCUGGGGUUAUCCAACAGCCUCCACCUCUUCAUCAAGGAAAGUUCUGCCAGAUGAAAAAGAUGACAGUAUAAUUCCACUUUUAAAAGUUGCUGAUAAGAGAAUUUCAGUAGCAGUUUCAAAUGCAUCUUUAGAAAAAAAAAUGUAAGAUUAACAUCCUUUGUUAUUUCAGUUCUGCACUAAAUAAUUUGGAAGUCAUCAAGUUUGGUUCCUGGGACUAGAGACGGUGAUUGGGAAAGCUACAAUGAAAUGUAAUGAAACAAGGAAGUGGGUUCAACAGAGCUGCACAAUUUCCUGCCCAAAUACAAAAUUAGUCUGGAGAAGUUGGGUAUACUUGUCAUUGGCUAGAAUGUGCUGUUAUCUUUUGAUCAAAAGAUGGUCUGACUUCUAGAUUCCAGAAAGAGAAAACAUGUUACAACGUAACUAUGCAUCUGCCUAAAUUGUGUUAUUAUUAUCUAGUGUAUUUUCUUCACAUUGUUUACUAAACAGAGAUUAUUACCAUGGUAAUUCUGUCAUUACAUGGCACAUGUAUAGCUGCAAGCUACAAGAACACCAGUUGUUUGCAGUUUUUUGCCUUUGGCUUAAGAAUUUAAAAUCAUUUACAACAGUCUUUCAGGAGAGAAUAGAGUUAUUGUGAAUAAAUAUUUAGAACUGGUAGUAGAAAAUGUCGGUCUCUUCUCAAAAUAUUUGCAUUGUAUCUGUAGUGACAGAAGAACAUCAUGUCAUCUAGCUUCUCUGUGUCUCCAAUGCUGUGCUUUGCUAGUGGUUAAAAUCCUUAAUUCCUACUUGGGAGGAGAUGGAAUAAAUAACAUAGUAUUUUGUCAAAGGCAAAUAUAUGCAGCAUAUUUAUCUUCCACAAAUGGUAAAGCUGCCAGAUCCUUGGAACUUCUGCCCAGGACUACUCUUCUAGCAUGCAAAUGCUUAAUAUGGCUUGCUGAUCUCAUGACAUCAAUCAAUUCUGAUCUUGUUUUCCUGCUUGCAGUUAUAUAUUAUUAAUGAGAUUCUGCAUACAAUUUUUUCUAUAAAACAUAUGAUAAUGUCUUUAAUUGCUGUUAUCACAGUGGUCUACAGUGCCACUGUAACUGUGCUUUGUGUUUAUCUUAGGGUAUGGCUACACUAGAACCAGGGAGAAGCUAGUGUGUGCUGCCUAUGAAUGGUCAGACUUGACUAGAAGAAUCUAAUCAAGCCUAACUGUUCAUAUGGAAAUGACUCCUGCCAAUAUUGUGAAGCGGCUUAAUUGGUGAGCUACUUCAGGAUAUUGGCAAAUUAAUCACUUUCACUACUUAGCAGAAAAAAUUAAAAAUCUUUCCCUUGCCUUCUCUUAAAUGGCCAGUUGAGAAACUGCCUGCAGCCAAAGGCACUGCCAUAGAUUCGACUGUGGGUGGUUUUUCAACUAGCCCUCUGAGGCAAUUAAAAAAAAUUAGCUGAUAUUUUUUAAAAA